CAAUAGCGUAUAUUAAAGUUGUUGCGGUUAAAAAGCCCGUAGUUGGAGUUCUGCCAGGUGCCGCCUGUCCGCCCCAGUGGUGAGUACGUGGCGCGCAUUUGGCCCUUUCAAGGGGAGCGUAUCUGCACUUUAUUGUGUGGUGCGGGAUCCUUGACUUUUACUUUGAGGAAAUAGGAGUGUUCCAAGCAGGCUCUCGUCGUGCACAGCUCAGCAUGGAAUAAUAGCAUUGGACCUCGAUUCUAAGCUGUUGGUUGCCAGAAGCGAGGUAAUGAUGAAGAGGGAUAGUUGGGGGCAUUCGUAUUUAACUGUCAGAGGUGAAAUUCUUGGAUUUGUUAAAGACGGGCUACUGCGAAAGCAUCUGCCAUGGAUGUUUUCAUUGA
rnacentral:rRNA from 1 species